CACCUUGUUGUUUGCCCUGCUCGACAUAGAAUCGACGUUGCUGGAAAGCUGAGGUCGGCGUUCAGCUCGGUAAUUCUAUUUCUCCGGUGGUUAAGCGCCAGGACACUUAGGCCCGACGCACGGUCCACGGAUUCCGGUCGCGCUUGCGUCUAAAUUUGGAAGCUGAUGAGGUCAUUGGGCAAGUGUUUUGUUUGUUUGGUUGGUUGGCUUUGUCGCGGGGUGAUUUUGACUUGUGUUGAUUGGCAGGAAGCUGGAUUCCGAUGUUGAAUUCGUCGGGGACGAUUGGAAUAUUCACUAGGUUAUUUACAAUUUUAAGAGAAGGUCAGGUAGGGAUUUUGCUUAUGUGCAUGUGUUUUGUGAGGGGCUUCCAUGGCGAUAUUCUUUGUGGUAGUGGUGGUGCACCAGUAAAGAGAUACGAUAAUAUAUAUAUAUAUAUCUCUGCAGAUAUAUCCCCCUGCGAUACAGCCAUAAAAUGG
rnacentral:sRNA from 2 species